UGACCUCGGAUCAGGUAGGGAUACCCGCUGAACUUAAGCAUAUCAAUAAGCGGAGGAAAAGAAACCAACAGGGAUUGCCCUAGUAACGGCGAGUGAAGCGGCAACAGCUCAAAUUUGAAAUCUGGCGCAAGCCCGAGUUGUAAUUUGUAGAGGAUGCUUCUGGGCAGCGGCCGGUCUAAGUUCCUUGGAACAGGACGUCACAGAGGGUGAGAAUCCCGUAUGCGACCGGUUGGCACCCGUCACGUAGCUCCUUCGACGAGUCGAGUUGUUUGGGAAUGCAGCUCUAAAUGGGAGGUAAAUGCCUUCUAAAGCUAAAUACCGGCUGGAGACCGAUAGCG
rnacentral:rRNA from 1 species